CUGGUAGAGAUGGAGAAAAGACAUCAGUCAGUGACCUAAACAUUACAGGAAGAGAUGCAACCAGAGCUACUACAAAGCUCUGUGGAAACCUGGAUAACAAUGUGUAUCUUCAAGUGGUGAUUACGAUGUGCUCUACACAACUUUGUUGUUAUAUUCAAUGGCUUAAGAAGGUAUUUAUGCAAGAAUCCAGGUUCAUUAGGUUUAAAAUGGAGGGAAAAACCCUGAGAAUUAUCUGCAGUCUGAUGUGAGAAAUCAGCUUCUGUGUUCCCAAACUGCUAUUUUGCUAUCAAGAUUUGCUUGGGACACUUGGGGACAUUUUGUGCACUUGGUUGAACUUUCACCUCUGAAAGCAGUACCACCUAAGUCUUUCCUUCAUGAACCAAAGCUGAUGUGCCACCCUUUGGAGUAUAUUCAACUGCAGCCCUCUAAAUGGUUGGUGCAGAUAUUCUCCUUUUCAGAAAUGGUAAUUCUAAUGAGAGAAAUAGAAUGCUAAGUACGAAGUGAUACAGUGAAAAUGUUACAAAGAAAAGAGCACAACUCCUGCUGGGAUAUAUGCCUGCCUUAACUACCAGAAGACACUCUAUCUGUCGCCUUCCAACUCUCUACUAAUGACAGCAGAUCAGUGCUGUAAUGGAAUUAUAGUUGGCACAGUGCACAUUCAGUCGACAAGAAAUGAGGUGGAAAAGAAAAAGCCAAAAGAGCAUUAGAAAAAUAACACCCUACUUCUCACGUCUGCUGAACAUAAUCAAUACCAGUCAAAUUUGGCUAGACAGGUGAAGGCACAAAUUAUUUUUUAUUCAGCGCCUGCUUUUCAGAUUUACACUUUUUCCAAUUAUCUCCCAAUGUGGCAUUGGAAGGAUUAUUUGUAGCUCUGGCAGAAGAAAUAAGUAACAAAAAGCAUCUGCUCCACAGUAAUCUGAUCUGAAUUCUCAAUCUCUAAAAGCAGAAGAGAGCCAAGGAUUUGUGCAUUGUAAGAUGACUUCUGUACUUGAUAUAAUUUUAUUAUAUGAUGAAAAGGAGUAGCACUAUCUGCUACCUAACCUAGGAAAUGUCAAUUGCAACAAAAUAUUUAUUUAUGAUAGUGUUCACACCCCGUUUGACUAGUCUAGAAUCAGGCACCCAAAGAUAAUUAUUGCUAAUUGCUAACACAGUAGCAGCUCUGUCUGUGCUUUGGUCACCCAUUUGCCUUUCUCUGAUGGCAGGUCCUUCAGAGUAGGCAUUCUGGGAAAUGUUGCAAGCUCAUGGCAAUGCCUAGAUAUUGCUUUUUAAAAAUACUUUAAAAUGUGAAGCUGCUUUAGUAACUUUUUGCUUUUUACAAAAUUUAAUAGGUAACUUCUAGCUGCACCCACCUUGCCCAGAAUCCCUUGCUCUGAAGGACUCUGGGAAGGGGAAGGUGGAGAAUGAGACACCACUGAUGCUGCCAACCACGUUGCUGGAGACCCAACAAUGAGCAAGCAGGGAGAAGUGCAAGCCCAUCCCUACUCAUAAGUAAAUAAAUAAUAAUAAUAAUUGGUACAAACAGAA